GAUGAACGCUGGCGGCGUGCCUAAUACAUGCAAGUCGAGCGAACAGACGAGGAGCUUGCUCCUCUGACGUUAGCGGCGGACGGGUGAGUAACACGUGGAUAACCUACCUAUAAGACUGGGAUAACUUCGGGAAACCGGAGCUAAUACCGGAUAACAUGUUGAACCGCAUGGUUCAACAGUGAAAGACGGUCUUGCUGUCACUUAUAGAUGGAUCCGCGCCGCAUUAGCUAGUUGGUAAGGUAACGGCUUACCAAGGCAACGAUGCGUAGCCGACCUGAGAGGGGGAUCGGCCACACUGGAACUGAGACACGGUCCAGACUCCUACGGGAGGCAGCAGUAGGGAAUCUUCCGCAAUGGGAGAAAGCCUGACGGAGCAACGCCGCGUGAGUGAAGAAGGUCUUCGGAUCGUAAAACUCUGUUAUUAGGGAAGAACAAAUGUGUAAGUAACUAUGCACGUCUUGACGGUACCUAAUCAGAAAGCCACGGCUAACUACGUG
rnacentral:rRNA from 1 species